rnacentral:rRNA from 1 species
AUAACAUAACGAAGCCGCAUGACUUUGUUAUCAAAGAUUUAUCACUCAGAGAUGGGCUCGCGUCUGAUUAGAUAGUUGGUGAGGUAACGGCUCACCAAGUCGACGAUCAGUAGCCGGACUGAGAGGUUGAACGGCCACAUUGGGACUGAGACACGGCCCAGACUCCUACGGGAGGCAGCAGUGGGGAAUAUUGCACAAUGGGGGAAACCCUGAUGCAGCGAUGCCGCGUGGAGGAAGAAGGUUUUCGGAUUGUAAACUCCUGUCUUAAAGGACGAUAAUGACGGUACUUUAGGAGGAAGCUCCGGCUAACUACGUGCCAGCAGCCGCGGUAAUACGUAGGGAGCGAGCGUUGUCCGGAAUUACUGGGUGUAAAGGGAGCGUAGGCGGGACUGCAAGUCAGAUGUGAAAUGCCGGGGCUUAACCCCGGAGCUGCAUUUGAAACUGUGGUUCUUGAGUGAAGUAGAGGCAAGCGGAAUUCCUGGUGUAGCGGUGAAAUGCGUAGAUAUCAGGAGGAACACCGGUGGCGAAGGCGGCUUGCUGGGCUUUUACUGACGCUGAGGCUCGAAAGCGUGGGUAGCAAACAGGAUUAGAUACCCUGGUAGUCCACGCUGUAAACGAUGAUUACUAGGUGUGGGGGGACUGACCCCUUCCGUGCCGCAGUUAACACAAUAAGUAAUCCACCUGGGGAGUACGGCCGCAA